rnacentral:rRNA from 1 species
GUGUCAGCCGCCGCGGUAAGACGAACCGAGCGAACGUUAUUCGGAAUCACUGGGCUUAAAGGGCGCGUAGGCGGGUAUUCAAGUCUAUGGUGAAAUCCGGCAGCUUAACUGUCGAAUUGCCGUGGAUACUGGGUAUCUCGAGGAAGGUAGGGGCAUGCGGAACUAACGGUGGAGCGGUGAAAUGCGUUGAUAUCGUUAGGAACUCCGGUGGCGAAGGCGGCAUGCUGGACCUUUUCUGACGCUGAGGCGCGAAAGCCAGGGGAGCAAACGGGAUUAGAAACCCCCGUAGUCC